GAUCUCAGCUCCUUUUCAGCUAGUGGGUGGAACCCCAGGAGGGAAAACUCAGGGAAGCCCAGGGCCCGUGUUGUGCUUUUGGCCCAGGAGGAAGUGAAAAUACCCCAUGGAGUGAAGCUUGUGUGCUACCUGGGUUCCGGGCCAGUGAUCCAGCUCCUGGGGGCCAUCAGCCACGGCCAGGCAGGGGGGCAGCUGCCACCAAAGCUGGAGGUUCUAGAGGACUUGAUGGAGGUCAGCUCACCCUCACCUGCCCAGAGGCUCAGAAGGAAGAAAAGGCCCAUGGUGCAGGGCCCUGCUGGGUGCCAGGUUUUCCAGCCUUCUCCUUCAGGAGGCACAGCAGGGGACCCUGGUGGCCUCUCUGACCCCUUCUACCCUCCAAGAAGCGGUUCCCUGGCCCUUGGCGACCCCAGCUCGGACCCUGCAUGUUCCCAGAGUGGCCCAAUGGAGGCUGAAGAGGAUUCUCUUCCGGAGCAGCCAGAGGACUCAG
rnacentral:lncRNA from 1 species